AUGGUGCGCGGCAAGUCCGACCGGGGGGACACGUCGGUGGUCGUCGUCGUCCUAGAGACAAAUGAGGUGUACAUUGUGGCGAGCCUGUCGACAGCAGGCGACACGCAGGUGAUCUGCGUCGACCCCACCACGGGCGCCCUGCGCCACCAGGGGAAGCAGGGGGAGGACCUCUUUGAUUCCGAGGCGGCUGCUCUGAAACACAUCACCAACGGGUCGAGAUUCUUAUCCAAGAGCACCACAUAUGCCAAAGCCGUGCUGGGCUAUGCCGUGUUGGGGAGUUAUGCUCUGCUUCUCGUUGCGACGCAGCUCAGUGCGACGGUCCCACGGCUACCUGGAGGCGGGUGUAUAUAUACCGUGGUGGAGAGUCAAUGGGUAAAGAUUCAGCUGCAGAAUCCUCAGCCCCAGGGAAGUGGAGAGCUGAAGAAUAUCAAGGAUUUGGCUGAUCUUGACAUUGAUGGUAAGUACUACUUUUGUGAAACGAGGGAUAUCACUAGGCCGUUUCCAAGUCGGAUGGCUAUUCAGGAACCAGAUGAGGAAUUCGUGUGGAAUGCGUGGUUGUCAAGGCCUUUCAAGGACAUUGGUUUGCUGGGGCACUGUGUCAUUCUUUUGCAGGGCUUUGCAGAGUGUCGCAAUUUUGGAGCUACAGGGCAGCAAGGUGGGGUAGUUGCUCUCAUUGCACGCCGCAGCCGGCUACAUCCUGGAACCCGCUAUUUGGCUCGUGGGCUGAAUGCAUGUUCUGGCACCGGCAAUGAGGUGGAGUGCGAGCAAAUUGUUUGGGCCCCUCAAAAAGGUGGGCAAGUAAUACCUUUUAACUCGUAUAUCUGGCGGCGUGGGACUAUACCAAUAUGGUGGGGUGCAGAAAUAAAGAAUGCUGUGUCAGUUGAGGCCGAGAUUUAUGUUGCUGAUGAUCCUUACAAUGGGACCUUGCAAUACUACCAACGGCUGGGUCGAAGAUACGGUAAUAAAUCAUCUGAAGUCAAUGCUACGAGUAAUAAGAAGAAACCUGGAAUGGUUCCCAUUGUGUGUGUUAACUUGCUAAGAUAUGCUGAAGGAAAACCGGAGACAAUUCUAGUUGAACAUUUCAAAGAAUCUCUGAAGUACCUGAAGUCUACUGGCAAGCUUGGAAACACCUGGAUUCAGUUGAUAAAUUAUGACUGGCAUGCCACUGUGAAGUUAAAAGGACAACAACAGACAGUUGAGGGCCUCUGGAGGCACCUUAAAGCACCAACAAUGGCCAUUGGCUUCAGUGAAGGGAAUUACUACAGUGUAAAACAGCAGCUUAACGAAUGCAAGGGAUCAAUUAUCUGCAAUGAUGAUGGUGGGUUCUGUAUGCAUAAUAUUCAAAAUGGUGUGGUACGUUUUAAUUGUGCAGAUUCUCUUGAUCGCACCAAUGCUGCUAGCUAUUUUGGGGCGCUUCAAGUUUUUGUCGAACAGUGUAGUCAACUUGGUAUUUCCCUUGAUAUAGAUGCUAUGUUUGGCUUAUCGACAAGCAGAAAUUCUGAGUAUAACGGUCGGAGUGCUCGUUCUUUGCCCCCUGGAUGGGAGGAACGCUUUGACUCUGUAACAGGUAAAUCAUUUUAUAUCGAUCAUAAUACACGUACUACCUCAUGGGAGCAUCCAUGCCAGGAAGCUCCACAAAAGCGCUGGAAGAGAUUUGAUAUGACAUUUGAGCAGUUCAAGAGCUCAACAAUGCUUGCCCCAGUGAACCACCUUGCUGAAAUUUUUCUUUUGGCUGGUGAUAUACAUGCCACGUUGUACACUGGCUCAAAAGCUAUGCACAGCGAGAUUCUAAACAUAUUCAAGGAGGAGACUGGAAAGUUCAGUAAAUUCUCUGCUGCUCAGAAUGUCAAGAUUACACUGCAAAGAAGGUUCCACAAUUAUAUGAAUGAUAGCUCUCGUCAAAAACAGUUUGAGAUGUUUCUUGGAUUGAGGCUAUAUAAGCAUCUCCCAUCCAUCCCAAUUUUCCCUCUCAAAGUACUAUCGAGACCAUCUGGAUGCAUGUUGAAACCAGUUCCUUGUAUCACUCCAAUGGCUGAUGGUGGUUCCAGUCUUCUCAGCUUCAAAAAGAAGGAUAUUGUUUGGGUAUGCCAGCAAGGUGCAGACUAUGUUGAGCUUUUUAUAUACCUUGGAGAACCUUGUCAUGUUUCUCAGCUUCUUCUUACUGUUUCCCAUGGGGUUGAAGAUUCUUCAUAUCCAGCUACUGUAGAUGUCAGAGUUGGCUCCAGCAUAGAUGCCCUUAAGCUUGUUGUUGAGGGCGCUUGCAUACCCCAGUGCUCGAAUGGGACAAAUUUGUUGAUCCCUCUCACUGGAAGAAUUCAUCCAGAGGACUUGGCUGUUACAGGCAAUAGUGCUCGACCGGACGUUCAAGAGAGCACUUAUCUUCCGUUGUUAUACGACUUCGAAGAGCUGGAAGGAGAAGUGAACUUUCUAAAUCGGGUUGUCACAUUAUCUUUUCAUCCUUCUCCCAUGGCGAGAACAGCCAUCACACUUGGUGAGAUUGAAGUACUUGGUGUUUCUCUUCCAUGGGUGGAUAUGUUAACCAAUAGCAAAGGUGUUGCUCAAGUUUUGGAGCUCCUCCAUGAAAAAGCAUAUACUCCCCGCGAUCUAGCUUUGAAAAAUAUUGCAGAUUCUUCCUCUCCUGGUAAUGCUGUUCACGGUAGUGAGAGGAGUUAUACUAGAAGUUCAUCAUCAGUUCAACCUGGUGGUUCAGGAAAUUUUGUGGAUUUUCUCACGGGUGAUAUCGACGUACCGAACCAAUCAAAAAACACUGGAAAUACAUCUUUUGGUAAUGAGGAUCAGACGAACUUCUUUGAUGAUGAAUUUGACGUCAACCCUUUUGCCACUGCAUCAGAAGAGCCUGUUGCUGAAGUCAAUAACCAUGUUGAAGAUUGUGGCAGUACACAGUUUUAUCUCGAGUUUUUGGAGUCACUUUCUCAAAAUAAUAAGGGAAAGAGCCUUAACUUUGAACAAAGGAUGAAGCUUGAAAUAAAACGUCUUUAUCUUGAUCUUUCUGCUGCCGAAAGGGACCGGGCAUUGUUAUCGAUUGGUGUAAUUCCUGCCACGGUAGAUCCAAAUCGUUCAGUUGAUUACUCUUACCUGUUGAAGUUAUCCAGCCUUACUGACAAGCUAGCAUUGCUGGGGCAUUCUGUCUUCGAGGAUCGUGCUAAUGCUUCAAUAGGGCUCGAAAAGGUCAAUAGCCAUGCUGUAGACUUUUGGAAUAUCAGUGAAAAUGGUGAAUCAUGCUCUGGUGGGGCAUGUGAAGUCCGUGUUGUAUCUUCGUUACAAGCUUCAGCUACUAGUGGAAAUACAUCACUAUUCGUGGAGUGUUCCCAGUGCGAAAGGACAGCUUGCAAGGCUUGCUGUGCUGGGAAAGGGGCCUUCCUUUUGCUUGGCAACACUUACAGAGAUCUGAAGAUAUAUGGUGGGAAUCAAGGUGGUGGCUAUUCAGCCCUCGCAGAUAGUUCUGUGUGCAAAUCAUGCUGCAAUGAGAUGAUCAAACAAGCACUGUAUGUCGAUUAUGUCAGGGUUCUUCAUAGUAUGAGAAGAAAAGGUCGUGCGGAGAAAGCAGCACUGAAAGCAGUGAAUCAGGUCUGCCAACUUGAGCCCAAUAGAAUAUCGGAUUCAGUACAUAGUGUUCAAUCUGGUCUGAGACAAUUGAAGCAGCUCCUUGAUGAUGAAGAAUCUCUUGCAGAAUUUCCACAUGCAAGCUUUUUACAUACGGUAGAAACUGCUGAUGACUCUGCUCCACUGUUUUCAUUGCUGGCACCACUUGGUAGUGGAGUGCACAAGUCCUACUGGAAAGCUCCACAAGGCAACACAUCUGUGGAGUUCCCGAUUGUUCUUGGCGGUAUAUCAGAUGUUUCAGGAGUUGCAAUAAUUGUCAGUUCCUGUGGUUACUCAACAUCUGAUUGCCCAAUUGUGGAGAUAUGGGCUAGUAAUAAAAUACAGCGAGACGACCGGACAUUCGUAGGAAAGUGGGACGUGCAAAGUAUGAUAGUGUCAUCUCCACAGCUUUAUGGACCAGAAAAUUCGGGUAGCUUGGAUGAGGCACCAAGACACUUUAAACUACACUUCCCAAAUCCUAUCCGUUGUCGCAUAAUUUCAAUAAAAAUGACACUUCCCCAAAUUGGUUCUAGCUCAACCAAGUUUAAUGAAGACUUUAGUGAUCUUUUAUCAUUGGAUGAAAGCUCAUUUAUUGAUUCUAAGGCAAACAAUUCACAUAACUCAUUUAUCCAUGCAAAAAGGAUUGUUGUUUUCGGUAGCUCUUUGCCCAAGGAAAUGGGUCCUGACACAUCUGUGGCAAUAAUGAGGAUGAGAAGUUACGUAGAUGGAUCACCAUCGUUUGGCAGAUUUAGGAUUCCGGUUGAGGCUGAGAGGUUGAGAGACCACGAUCUUGUUCUUGAGCAAUAUCUCUUGCCUAAUUCGCCUGGAAUAGCUGGAUUUCGCCUUGAUUCCUUUGGUGUUAUAAGACCUCGUGUAACCCAUUCACCUCUGCCAUCAGAGUUAGAUAUGAAGGAGUGUUCAUUGAUACGUAUGGAAGAUAGACACUUAAAUCCUGCAAUUCUUCAUAUACAAGUUACAGUUGUUAAGGAGUCUGGCAAGCUGGUUGUAGAGGAAUACCGUCUGCCGGAAGUUAAAGCAAAUACACCACUGUAUUUUGAUUUUUCGGAUUUGCAGCAAGAUGCCCGUUGUGUUAUCUUUAGAUUACUUGGAGAUGUCACUGCCUUUGUUGAUGAUAUUGCUGAGAUUGAUGGCUUAAGCUUGCGGAAUCUUCCUCUGGCUUCUGGAUUGUCUUUGUCAAAUAAGAUCAAGCUGUACUACUACGCUGAUACCUAUGAGAUGGGAAAGAUCGGCAGUCUCUCGGCAGUAUGA
rnacentral:rRNA from 1 species